rnacentral:rRNA from 1 species
AGUGAACGCUGGCGGUAGGCCUAACACAUGCAAGUCGAACGGCAGCACAGUAAGAGCUUGCUCUUACGGGUGGCGAGUGGCGGACGGGUGAGGAAUACAUCGGAAUCUACUUUUUCGUGGGGGAUAACGUAGGGAAACUUACGCUAAUACCGCAUAAGACCUACGGGUGAAAGCAGGGGAUCUUCGGACCUUGCGCGAUUGAAUGAGCCGAUGUCGGAUUAGCUAGUUGGCGGGGUAAAGGCCCACCAAGGCGACGAUCCGUAGCUGGUCUGAGAGGAUGAUCAGCCACACUGGAACUGAGACACGGUCCAGACUCCUACGGGAGGCAGCAGUGGGGAAUAUUGGACAAUGGGCGCAAGCCUGCUCCAGCCAUACCGCGUGGGUGAAGAAGUCCUUCGGGUUGUAAAGCCCUUUUGUUGGGAAAGAAGAGCAGCAGGUUAAUACCCCGCUGUUCUGACGGUACCCAAAGAAUAAGCACCGGCUAACUUCGUG